rnacentral:rRNA from 1 species
AGAGCGCAAGGGGAAUGCCUUGGCACUGGGAGCCGACGAAGGACGUAGCGAUCUACGAUAAGCCACGGUGAGCCGAAAGCAGGCAUCGACCCGUGGAUUUCCGAAUGGGGCAACCUGGCUGAAUAGAACUCAGUCAACAUACGGUGAAUAAAAUAGUCGUAUGUGGGGAACCGCCUGAACUGAAACAUCUAAGUAGGGCGAGGAAAAGAAAUCAACCGAGAUUCCGCAAGUAGUGGCGAGCGAACGCGGAAGAGGCCAAACCGAGAGUAGUAAUACUUUCGGGGUUCGGACAGCGGACGGUAUGCUGAAGGUUAGCAGAAGGACAUGGGACGGUCCACCAAAGAGAGUGAGAGUCUCGUAUGCGAAAACUGAAAGCAGCCAGCUGAAUCCAGAGUACCGCCGGACACGUGAAACCCGGUGGGAAUAUGGGGGGACCAUCCUCCAAGCCUAAAUACUACCCAGUGACCGAUAGCGUAUAGUACUGUGAAGGAAAGGUGAAAAGAACCCCGGGAGGGGAGUGAAAAGAACCUGAAACCUUGUGCUUACAAGCACACAAAGCACGUCAACGUGUGAUGUGGUACCUUUUGUAGAAUGGUCCGGCGAGUGAAUGUAACUGGCGAGGUUAAGUUCUUAAGGAACGGAGCCGAAGCGAAAGCAAGUCUGAAUAGGGCGUCUUAGUCAGUUGUAUUCGACCCGAAACCGGGUGACCUAUCCAUGUCCAGGAUGAAGUUAAGGUAAAACUUGAUGGAGGUCCGAACCCACGGUCGUUGAAAUGCCCGGGGAUGAGAUGUGGAUAGCGGAGAAAUUCCAAUCGAACCCGGAUAUAGCUGGUUCUCUCCGAAAUAGCUUUAGGGCUAGCCUCGACUGAACAUUACCGGAGGUAGAGCACUGAAUGGGCUAGGGGCCGAGAGGUUACUGAACCCUAUCAAACUUCAAAUGCCGGAAAAUGAUAGUCGGGAGUCAGACUGCGUGAGAUAAGUUUCGUAGUCGAAAGGGAAACAGCCCAGACCCACAGCUAAGGUCCCAAAGUACGGUUAAGUGGAAAAGGAUGUGGAGUUGCACAGACAACCAGGAUGUUGGCUUAGAAGCAGCCACUCAUUAAAAGAGUGCGUAAUAGCUCACUGGUCGAGUGACUCUGCGCCGAAAAUUUAACGGGGCUAAAUCGUACACCGAAGCUUGGGAUGUAUCUAUGAUACAUGGUAGGAGAGCGUUGAAUGCGGGGUGAAGUCAGAGCGAAAGCGCUGGUGGACUGCAUUGAAGUGAGAAUGCCGGAAUGAGUAGCGAGAUUUAUGUGAGAAUCAUAAAGGCCGAAAGACUAAGGUUUCAGAAGGAAGGUUCGUCCGCUUCUGGUUAGCCGGGAGCUAAGGUGAGGCCGAAAGGCGUAGCCGAUGCACAUACGGUGGAGAUUCCGUAGCCGUCGAAAUAUUUAAGCAAAGGGACACUUAUGAAGGACAUGACCCGGGCGAUGGUAGCCCCGGGCGUAAGGGACUGAAAACAAGUAAGGAAGCAUGUUUGGAUUAAGGCGAGAAAAGCUUUGUGUAUAUAUUAGACGUCCGUACCGCAAACCGACACAGGUAGUCAGGAAGAGGAUUCUAAGGCCAACGGGAGAAGGGUAGUUAAGGAACUCGGCAAAUUGACCCCGUAACUUCGGGAUAAGGGGCGGUGCGUAAGCACCCGCAGUGAAUAGGUCCAGGCGACUGUUUAUCAAAAACACAGCUCUCUGCUAAAUCGAAAGAUGACGUAUAGGGGGUGACACCUGCCCGGUGCUGGAAGGUUAAGAGGAGGAGUGCAAGCUCCGAAUUGAAGCCCCAGUAAACGGCGGCCGUAACUAUAACGGUCCUAAGGUAGCGAAAUUCCUUGUCGGGUAAGUUCCGACCCGCACGAAUGGUGUAACGAUCUGGACGCUGUCUCAACUGCCCACCCGGCGAAAUUGUAGUACCGGUGAAGAUGCCGGUUACCCGCGGCAAGACGGAAAGACCCCAUGGAGCUUUACUGUAACUUGAUAUUGGGUCUUGGUAUUCUAUGUACAGGAUAGGCGGGAGACUAUGAAACAUACACGCCAGUGUAUGCGGAGUCACCCUUGGGAUACCGCUCUUAGAGUACUGAGAUUCUAACCUGCGGCCGUGAAUCCGGUCGGGGGACAUUGUCAGGUGGGCAGUUUGACUGGGGCGGUCGCCUCCUAAAAGGUAACGGAGGCGCUCAAAGGUUAGCUCAGCACGGUCGGAAACCGUGCCUCUGAGUGCAAACGCAAAAGCUAGCCUAACUGCGAGGCUGACGGGCCGAGCAGUAACGAAAGUUGGAGUUAGUGAUCCGGCGGUAUGUGAAUGGAAAUGCCGUCGCUCAACGGAUAAAAGCUACCCUGGGGAUAACAGGCUGAUCUCCCCCAAGAGUCCACAUCGACGGGGAGGUUUGGCACCUCGAUGUCGGCUCAUCGCAUCCUGGGGCUGUAUUCGGUCCCAAGGGUUUGGCUGUUCGCCAAUUAAAGCGGUACGCGAGCUGGGUUCAGAACGUCGUGAGACAGUUCGGUCCCUAUCUGUCGUGGGCGCAGGAUAUUUGAUGGGAGCUGUCCCUAGUACGAGAGGACCGGGAUGGACGCACCUCUGGUGCACCAGUUGUCACGCCAGUGGCACAGCUGGGCAGCUAUGUGCGGAACGGAUAAACGCUGAAAGCAUCUAAGCGUGAAGCCGCCUCCAAGAUAAGAUAUCCCAUAGCAUAAGCUAGUAAGACCCCUCAUGGACUAAGAGGUUGAUAGGCUGCAUGUGUAAGCGCGGUGACGCGUUUAGCUUGGCAGUACUAAUAGGUCGAGGGCUUGACUU